CGGCGCAUUAGCUAGUUGGUGAGGUAACGGCUCACCAAGGCGACGAUGCGUACCCGACCUGAGAGGGUGAUCGGCCACACUGGGACUGAGACACGGCCCAGACUCCUACGGGAGGCAGCAGUAGGGAAUCUUCCGCAAUGGACGAAAGUCUGACGGAGCAACGCCGCGUGAGUGAUGAAGGUUUUCGGAUCGUAAAGCUCUGUUGUUAGGGAAGAACAAGUGCAAGAGUAACUGCUUGCACCUUGACGGUACCUAACCAGAAAGCCACGGCUAACUACGUGCCAGCAGCCGCGGUAAUACGUAGGUGGCAAGCGUUGUCCGGAAUUAUUGGGCGUAAAGGGCUCGCAGGCGGUUUCUUAAGUCUGAUGUGAAAGCCCCCGGCUCAACCGGGGAGGGUCAUUGGAAACUGGGAAACUUGAGUGCAGAAGAGGAGAGUGGAAUUCCACGUGUAGCGGUGAAAUGCGUAGAGAUGUGGAGGAACACCAGUGGCGAAGGCGACUCUCUGGUCUGUAACUGACGCUGAGGAGCGAAAGCGUGGGGAGCGAACAGGAUUAGAUACCCUGGUAGUCCACGCCGUAAACGAUGAGUGCUAAGUGUUAGGGGGGUUUCCGCCCCUUAGUGCUGCAGCUAACGCAUUAAGCACUCCGCCUGGGGAGUACGGU
rnacentral:rRNA from 1 species